AGUUGGUUAAGUACCGCAACGAGCGCACCCUGUGUCCUGUUGCCACGGAGAACACGUUUCUCCAGCACUCUGGACAGACUGCCUCAUUUGAAUGAGGAGGAAGGUGGGGAUGACGUCAAGUCAGUAUGGCCCUUACGCCCAGGGCUGCACACGUGCUACAAUGCCUAGUACAAUGGGAAGCGAAAUCGCGAGAUGGAGCAAAUCCCCAAAACUAGGCUCAGUUCGGAUUGGAGUCUGCAACUCGACUCCAUGAAGUUGGAAUCGCUAGUAACGGCGCAUCAGCUACGGCGCCGUGAAUACGUUCCCAGGCCUUGUACACACCGCCCGUCACAUCAUGAAAGCCGGGAGCACCCGAAGGUUGCGAUUACGUGAACGAAGGUGAGCUUGGUGAUUGGGAUGAAGUCGUAACAAGGUAGCCGUAGGGGAACCUGCGGCUGGAUCACCUCCUUUCU
rnacentral:rRNA from 1 species